rnacentral:rRNA from 1 species
CCUACGGGUGGCUGCAGUAAGGAAUAUUGGUCAAUGGAGGAAACUCUGAACCAGCCAUCCCGCGUGAAGGAUGAAGGGGCUCUGCCUUGUAAACUUCUUUUGUCUGGGGCGAAAAAGCUCGAUUUAUCGAGAACUGACGGUACCAGAAGAAUUAGCACCGGCGAACUCCGUGCCAGCAGCCGCGGUAAUACGGAGGGUGCAAGCGUUAUCGUUAGUCAGUGUGUUGAAAGGGCUUGUAAAGUCCGUGGUGCAAGCCAAUGGCUUACACAUGGAAUUGCCAUUGAUACUGCAGAGCUCAAACGAGGUUGAGGAUGGCGGAAUGUGACAUGUAGCGGUGAAAUGCUUAGAUAUGUCAUGGAACACCGAUUGCGAAGGCAGCUAACUGGACCUAUAUUGACGCUGAGGCACGAAAGCGUGGGGAGCGAACAGGAUCAAAAGAACCAGUAGUC